AAAAUAUGAUGAGAGUUUUGGUCCGUGUUUAUGAAAUUUAGUGAUUUCACAACUAACCAUCUCUGAUUUU